rnacentral:rRNA from 1 species
UGGGGAAUAUUGCACAAUGGGCGCAAGCCUGAUGCAGCCAUGCCGCGUGUAUGAAGAAGGCCUUCGUGUUGUAAAGUACUUUCAGCGGGGAGGAAGGGAGUAAAGUUAAUACCUUUGCUCAUUGACGUUACCCGCAGAAGAAGCACCGGCUAACUCCGUGCCAGCAGCCGCGGUAAUACGGAGGGUGCAAGCGUUAAUCGGAAUUACUGGGCGUAAAGCGCACGCAGGCGGUUUGUUAAGUCAGAUGUGAAAUCCCCGGGCUCAACCUGGGAACUGCAUCUGAUACUGGCAAGCUUGAGUCUCGUAGAGAGGGGUAGAAUUCCAGGUGUAGCGGUGCAAUGCGUAGAGAUCUGGAGGAAUACCGGUGGCGAAGGCGGCCCCCUGGACGAAGACUGACGCUCAGGUGCGAAAGCGUGGGGAGCAAACAGG